AUACAUUAAAGGGAAGUCUGAGAAAACAAAAAAAGAAAAGAAAAGAAAAAAGUUUGAGAAAAAGGAAAAGAUAAAUGAAGUCUGAGGAAAAAAAAAAAAAGGAAAGACUAACGUCACAUUGCUUUGACAUUUUAUCGUCACGGACAGGUCUCAUCGUGAAGGCUUACCGCUUAAUCACGGCGAUUAGACCUUCAUUGACAUAACUUUUUCAACGACGCCUACGUGCGGUAAUUUCAUUUUUUUUUUGUUUUAUUCAUCUAAUCAGUACUACUACGUGGCAUUAAUAUUGAAUUACUUGUUUUUUUUUUUUUAAAUUCAUCCAUAUUUUGUUUUCAGCUUAAAAUGGAAACAAAAACUCAUAAAUGUGUUAACGAGAGGAAUCGUAAAACUAACACUUAUUUUGAAUAUGAACUAUAAAGAAAAAUACGUGCUAUAUAUGUUUAGGGAUUUGUUUUGGCUGGACAGCGAUCCCUAGUCUAGGUCUAGGUCACGAGUCAUUAUUAUUAGCCGAUGAAGGUAUGUGAUCUCUUCUUCCAUCUUUACCCAAACUAAUACCAUGAAUAUGAUGUAUUCUUUUCUGUAUUUAGAAAUCUUUAGUAGCUCAUUCAAUUACAAAGUUGAAAAACUUAGCUUUCACGUUAAUACUUCCAACAUUUUGGAAAAUGUAUAAGUACAAAGGAUAUGAGGGUUAUUUUGUUCUUCUCUACAAAUUAAAAUUUUGCCUAUGCAUAAUUCAUCAAUAUAUAAGAUGUGCACACACAUGAUGUAAACAAUAGACAUGACAAUGUUAAGAGUAAAACCGUUAGUGGUUUAUCUGAAAACAAGCUACCAUUAAAUACACCUCUUAAUUAAAUAUAUUAUACGAGUAUGUAAUUGGUUAUAUAUACACAUUCUAUGAGUUUAAAAAAAUAUAAGAUUUACUUAUUCAGUCAUACCUUUGUACCAUCGUUAGAGCCGAAGCAAGCAGACCCACUCUAGUGUCUCUGGUCACGUGGAACCGCGUGAAUUAGCGGCGCAAUUUGCAUUUGAUAAUGAUAGUUUAGCGCAUUUGGUAUUACUAUAUUAAAUGCUUUAAAUUUUUUUUAUGUAUUUUUGAUGGUUGGCAUUUUAAAUUACUUAUCCUAUAUAGUAUUGUUCAUGUAUAAUCAAUAUACAGUAUAUGGUUUGUCCUUUUUCAACGUUUGUAAUCGACGACCAACCCACAUACUUAAAACUCUCCAUAGUACUCGCAUUAGUUCGGAUCACAUUGAUCCUUAUUGAUGUCAUCUCGUCAAAUCUUAUGACUAUAUUGUAAUUUGCUGAAAAAUCAAGAGUCUGGACCCAAUAGUCUAAAUUCUACAAAGUAGACCCAC
rnacentral:lncRNA from 1 species